rnacentral:rRNA from 1 species
AAUCAGCGCUGGCGGCGUGCCUAACACAUGCAAGUCGAACGCGAAAGUGGAGCAAUCCAUGAGUAGAGUGGCAAACGGGUGAGUAACGCGUGGGCGACCUGCCCUUGAGUGGGGGAUAACAUUCCGAAAGGGAUGCUAAUACCGCAUAACAUCCUUCGUUUAGAUACGAGGUGAUCAAAGCUGGGAGCAAUCCUGGCGCUUGAAGAGGGGCCCGCGUCCGAUAGCUAGUUGGUGGGGUAACGGCCUACCAAGGCUCCGAUCGGUAUCCGGCCUGAGAGGGCGGACGGACACACUGGAACUGAGACACGGUCCAGACUCCUACGGGAGGCAGCAGUGGGGAAUUGUUCGCAAUGGGCGCAAGCCUGACGACGCAACGCCGCGUGGAGGAUGAAGACC